CAAACGUCAGAGAAAAUCACGUGUUCGAGAAAAAGACAGGGGCAAUUCCGGUGAGAGUGUCCCUGGAGGUCCACAUGCUGAUAUUCGUCGUCAGCGGAUGUCUGGUAAAUACCUAACCUGCACACUCCCAUCUACUGAUGGAACGCCGUGUCCAGAGAACGACUUCCCGUC